rnacentral:lncRNA from 1 species
UGAAUUGACUAUGUUUCUGGGAAUUGCUGCUAAUCUGUGGGAUAAUUGAAUCAGUUCCUUGUUUCCAGUGCUGAAUGACCUGGAGCAAAGGGACCCAGGGCAGCAUCCGAGGGGAACAAGAGUAGCUCCCUGGGGGAACCUUGAGGAGUUGCACACUUUCCAUCCCCAGUCACUGCUCCCCUUCGGGGGAGGGUCUUACUUGGUGCGGUUCUAGACAUAUUCUUUCCCUGGAUUUUGUAUUUCUGCAUCUACUUCACUGCUGUCUACAGCUCGAAAUAGAAGGCAAGCAGUUCUUGGCCUGUGAAACCUGA